rnacentral:rRNA from 1 species
CCCUUAGACGUUCUGGGCCGCACGCGCGCUACACUGACGAAGGCAACGAGCUUUCCUUUACCGAAAGGUUCGGGUAAUCUUUUGAAACUUCGUCGUGCUGGGGAUAGAUCCUUGCAAUUUUUGAUCUUAAACGAGGAAUUCCUAGUAAGCGCAAGUCAUCAACUUGCGUUGAUUACGUCCCUGCCCUUUGUACACACCGCCCGUCGCUACUACCGAUUGAAUGGUUUAGUGAGGCCUUCGGAUCCGCGACUCGUUUUGUGGAGAAGUUGGACAAACUCAGUCAUUUAGAGGAAGUAAAAGUCGUAACA